rnacentral:tRNA from 1 species
UGGGGUGUGGCUUAGUUGGGGUAGAGUGCUUGCCUCGCAUGCAAGAGAACCUGGGUUCAUACUCCAGCAUCUCAC